UACGAAGGGGGCUAGCGUUGCUCGGAUUGACUGGGCGUAAAGGGCGCGUAGGCGGCUUGUACAGUCAGACGUGAAAUUCCUGGGCUCAACCUGGGGGCUGCGUUUGAUACGUAUGGGCUUGAGUUCGGAAGAGGGUCGUGGAAUUCCCAGUGUAGAGGUGAAAUUCGUAGAUAUUGGGAAGAACACCGGUGGCGAAGGCGGCGACCUGGUCCGAUACUGACGCUGAGGUGCGAAAGCGUGGGGAGCAAACAGG
rnacentral:rRNA from 1 species